rnacentral:misc_RNA from 1 species
ACACCCUCAAGCUACGCUUGGUGUUGGGCGCCUGUCUCGCUUCGGCGCAGACUCGCCUUAAAUCCAUUGGCGGCCGGCACGCAGGGCUUCGAGCGCAGCACAAACGCGUCUCGAUCCCCCGCGAGCGGGCGACCAGAAGCACUCCACA